UAACUACUCCCCUCCGUUACAUAAUUCUUGUCCAAAUUUGUCCAAAAAUAGAUGUAUCUAUUCCUAAAAGGUAUCUAGAUACAUGUAAUAUUUCGACAAGAAUUAUGGAACGGAGGGAGUACAUG
rfam:Brachypodium distachyon strain Bd21 chromosome 1, whole genome shotgun sequence.